rnacentral:rRNA from 1 species
GACGAACGCUGGCGGCGUGCUUAACACAUGCAAGUCGAACGGAAAGGCCCUGCUUUUGUGGGGUGCUCGAGUGGCGAACGGGUGAGUAACACGUGAGUAACCUGCCCUUGACUUUGGGAUAACUUCAGGAAACUGGGGCUAAUACCGGAUAGGAGCUCCUGCUGCAUGGUGGGGGUUGGAAAGUUUCGGCGGUUGGGGAUGGACUCGCGGCUUAUCAGCUUGUUGGUGGGGUAGUGGCUUACCAAGGCUUUGACGGGUAGCCGGCCUGAGAGGGUGACCGGCCACAUUGGGCGUGGGAAGCGGCCCGGACCCCUGCGGGAGGCAGGGGGGGGAUAUUUUGCAAAAUGGGCGGAGGCCUGAUGCAACAGCCCCGCGGGGGGGAAGGCGGCCUUCGGGUUAGAACCCUCUUUCGCCUGUGACGAAGCGGGGGUGACGGUAAUGGGUAAAGAAGCACCGGCUAACUACGU